ACUUGAAUUUGGGUUUUUAACUUAGGUUUGGGUGGCGGACGGGUGAGUAACGCGUAAAGAACUUGCCUCACAGCUAGGGACAACAUUUGGAAACGAAUGCUAAUACCUAAUAUUAUGAUAAUAGGGCAUCCUAUAAUUAUGAAAGCUAUAAGCGCUGUGAGAGAGCUUUGCGUCCCAUUAGCUAGUUGGAGAGGUAACGGCUCACCAAGGCGAUGAUGGGUAGCCGGCCUGAGAGGGUGAUCGGCCACAAGGGGACUGAGACACGGCCCUUACUCCUAC
rnacentral:rRNA from 1 species